rnacentral:rRNA from 2 species
AGCCCAAACCAACAAGCUUGCUUGUUGGGGUUGUAGGACUGAACAUUAGAGUUACCAAAGUGCGACGUAGUCGCAACAGUUGGGAAGCUGUGCCAUAGAGGGUGAAAGCCCCGUAGACGAAACGUCACACUCUCUGUUCAGGAUCCUGAGUACGGCGGGACACGUGAAACCCCGUCGGAACCCGCGAGGACCAUCUCGCAAGGCUAAAUACUCCCUAGUGACCGAUAGUGAACCAGUACCGUGAGGGAAAGGUGAAAAGCACCCCGGAAGGGGAGUGAAAUAGUUCCUGAAACCAUGUGCCUACAAGCUGUCGGAGCCCGUUAAUGGGUGACGGCGUGCCUCUUGCAGAAUGAACCGGCGAGUUACGAUUGCAUGCAAGGUUAAGGUGGAAAAACCGGAGCCGUAGCGAAAGCGAGUCUUAAAUGGGCGUAAGAAGUAUGUAGUUGUAGACCCGAAACCAGGUGACCUACCCAUGUCCAGGUUGAAGGUGCGGUAAAGCGCACUGGAGGACCGAACCCGUGUCAGUUGAAAAUGGCUGGGAUGAGGUGUGGGUAGCGGUGAAAUUCCAAACGAACUUGGAGAUAGCUGGUUCUCUCCGAAAUCUCUUUAGGGGGAGCCUUGAGGUAAAGAAUCGUGGAGGUAGAGCUACUGUUUGGACAAGGGGCCCGUCAUGGGUUACCAACUUCAGAUAAACUCCGAAUGCCAUCGAUUUAUACUCAGGAGUCAGACGAUGAGUGAUAAGAUCCACCGUCGAAAGGGGAACAGCCCAGAUCACCAGUUAAGGUCCCUAAAUAUAUGCUAAGUGGAAAAGGAUGUGGAGUUGCAUAGACAACUAGGAUGUUGGCUUAGAAGCAGCCACCAUUUAAAGAGUGCGUAAUAGCUCACUAGUCGAGUGAUCCUGCGCCGAAAAUGUACCGGGGCUAAGCAUAUUACCGAAACUGUGGAUGUGCACUAUGUGCACGUGAUAGGAGAGCGUUCUAAGGGCGGCGAAGUCAGACCGUGAGGACUGGUGGAGCGCUUAGAAGUGAGAAUGCCGGUAUGAGUAGCGAAAGACAGGUGAGAAUCCUGUCCACCGAAUGACUAAGGUUUCCUGGGGAAGGCUCGUCCUCCCAGGGUAAGUCGGGACCUAAGCCGAGGCCGAGAGGCGUAGGCGAUGGAUAACAGGUUGAGAUUCCUGUACCAGUUAACUGCGUUUGACGAUGGAGGGACGCAGGAGGCUAAGCAAACCGUACGACUGGAAGAGUACGGCCAAGCAGUAAGUCAGGAUGUGAGUCAAAUGUUUACAUCCGUGUUGACAAGCUGUGAUGGGGAGCGAAAUUAAAGUAGCGAAGUUGCCGAUGUCACACUGCCGAGAAAAGCUUCUAAGGAGUAGUUAACUGCCCGUACCGCAAACCGACACAGGUAGUCGAGGAGAGAAUCCUAAGGUGAGCGAGAGAACUCUCGUUAAGGAACUCGGCAAAAUG